rnacentral:rRNA from 1 species
AGCGAACGCUGGCGGCAGGCCUAAUACAUGCAAGUCGAACGGCUCUUCGGAGCAGUGGCGGACGGGUGAGUAACACGUGGGAACGUGCCCUUUGGUACGGAACAACUGAGGGAAACUUCAGCUAAUACCGUAUGUGCCCCCAUUCUUAGCGGGAUGGGUGGGAAAGAUUUAUCGCCAUUGGAGCGGCCCGCGUUGGAUUAGCUAGUUGGUGGGGUAAAGGCCCACCAAGGCUACGAUCCAUAGCUGGUCUGAGAGGAUGAUCAGCCACACUGGGACUGAGACACGGCCCAGACUCCUACGGGAGGCAGCAGUAGGGAAUCUUGCGCAAUGGGCGAAAGCCUGACGCAGCCAUGCCGCGUGAAUGAUGAAGGUCUUAGGAUUGUAAAAUUCUUUCACCGGGGAAGAUAAUGACGGUACCCGGAGAAGAAGCCCCGGCUAACUUCGUGCCAGCCGCCGCCGUAA